GAUGAAGAACGUAGCGAAAUGCGAUACUUGGUGUGAAUUGCAGAAUCCCGUGAACCAUCGAGUCUUUGAACGCAAGUUGCGCCCGAAGCCACUAGGCCGAGGGCACGCCUGCCUGGGCGUCACACGUCGUUGCCCCCCCCCCAUCUACUCCUUCGGGAUUGCGGGGGGCGGAUGAUGGCCUCCCGUGCGCCUAGCCGCGCGGUUGGCAUAAAUACCAAGUCCUCGGCGACGCACGCCCCGCCAAUCGGUGGUUGCGAAACCUCGGUUGCCCGUCGUGUGCGUUCGUCGCGCAUCGAGGGCUCGAAAAAAUGCUCGGCUCCGGCUCGGCUUUCAACGCGACCCCAGGUCAGGCGGGGUUACCCGCUGAAUUUAAGCAUAUCAAUAAGCGGAGGA
rnacentral:misc_RNA from 1 species